rnacentral:tRNA from 1 species
GAGGGUAUAGCUCAGUGGUAGAGUGUGUGCGUAGCAUGCAGUACUGGGUUCAACCCCCAGUACCUCCA